rnacentral:rRNA from 1 species
UGAGGAAUUUUCCGCAAUGGGGGCAACCCUGACGGAGCGACGCCGCGUGUGGGAAGAAGGCCUUCGGGUCGUAAACCACUGUCGAAGGGGACGAUAUUGACGGUACCCUUGGAGGAAGCCCCGGCUAACUACGUGCCAGCAGCCGCGGUAAGACGUAGGGGGCAAGCGUUGUCCGGAAUUAUUGGGCGUAAAGCGCUCGUAGGCGGACCUUUAAGUCUGUGAAGAAAGACCCGGGCUCAACUCGGGGAACGGCAUGGAUACUAUUGGUCUUGAGGCAAUCAGAGGAUAAUGGAAUUCCCAGUGUAGAGGUGAAAUUCGUAGAUAUUGGGAAGAACACCGGUGGCGAAGGCGGCUCUCUGGACCGACACUGACGCUGAGGCGCGAAAGCGCGGGGAGCAAACAGGAUUAGAUACCCUGGUAGUCCACGCUGUAAACGAUGUGUGCUAGACGUUGGGGAGCCUAGCUCUUCGGUGUCGCAGCUAACGCGAUAAGCAAUCCGCCUGGGGAGUACGGUCGCAAGGCUG